AGACCUCAUUGAAGGGGUGUGUGCUGACUGCCACUGGGGAAGGAUCCCUUUCUGGAGGUCCCUCCUUGGUGAAGCUUUCCCCUGCAAAUCUGGAAUCUUCUGAUAUGGGAAACAACAGCAGUCGGACAAGAAGUCUGAGACUGAAGCAACUUGGUGUGAAAGGAAGCCCAGCAAUUCAGUCCUCAGCAGUGAAAGCAAUAGUUAAUGUCAUGUUUAGGAAUGGCCUACACAAGGCCGACCCUUCUAGCUGGCAGCCUGGCAACAGAAAGAAGAACACUAAGGAAACUAUGAAGGAAAUCAUGUGUUCUCCUCAUCAGACUUCCAUCUUGAGACAAUGAAGACACAGGUUAUAAUUAUUCUGAAGAGUUUUGAAAAGACAGCCCUGGAGAAGCUAGAUAAACUAAAUAAAAAGGUUCUAAGAAACCCACAAACUUCAACACCAGCACAUCCUACCUCUAAACUGAAAGACAGAGCCUUGGAGAGUCUUGCCCCUGGCCCAAGGCUGAUCAGUGAAUUUUGCACAUGAAUGCAGCCAUUCUGCUUCUGCUUGUCCUGGUUUCAGCUGGGACAGCUGUGAUUCUUCCUUCAAGCAAGGGGGAGCUGAGGGAGCAUGAAGAGCUGGAAGGGGACAGAAACAGGACACCUGACCUAAACUGGCCAAAAGAACACUCCAUGACAUAUGACAUC
rnacentral:lncRNA from 7 species